AUUGCCGGUAGUCUUAAUGUUACCAACUGCUAUGUGUGUGGAGGUACUAACAUGGGAGACCAAUGGCCUUGGGAAGCAAAGGAGGUAAUGUCCGGUUCUGAGGCAGUUGACCAAUUAAUAUCUACACAAGCCGACUAUCAUAUGAGUGUUAGAGGUAAAUCUGAGUGGAGAUUGAAGACCUCCAUCAUAGGUUAUGUUUGCAUAGCGAGGAAAGGAAUGAUGUAUAAUACUUCUGUAGGAGAAUUAACUUGUCUAG
rnacentral:lncRNA from 1 species